UACGUAGGGAGCAAGCGUUGUCCGGAAUCAUUGGGCGUAAAGCGCGCGUAGGUGGCCUCAUAAGUCCGCUGUGAAAGUCAAAGGCUCAACCUUUGAAAGCCGGUGGAUACUGUAGGGGCUAGAGUACGGAAGAGGCGAGUGGAAUUCCUGGUGUAGCGGUGGAAUGCGCAGAUAUCAGGAGGAACACCAAUAGCGAAGGCAGCUCGCUGGGACGUUACUGACACUGAGGCGCGAAAGCGUGGGGAGCGAACAGG
rnacentral:rRNA from 1 species